rnacentral:rRNA from 1 species
GACGAACGCUGGCGGCGUGCUUAACACAUGCAAGUCGAACGGAAAGGCCUGCUUUCCCUUGUGGCUUGCGGGUACUCGAGUGGCGAACGGGUGAGUAACACGUGAGUGAUCUGCCCCCAACUUGGGUAUAAGCCUGGGACACUGGGUCUAAUUCCCGAUAGGACUGCAGGGUGGUGCCUGUGGUGGAAAACGAUUUUCUAGUGGUUGGGGAUGAGCUCGCGGCCUAUCAGCUUGUUGGUUGGGUAAUGGCCUACCAAGGCGGAGACGGGUAGCCGGCCUGGGAGGGGGGACGGCGGAAUUGGGACUGGGACAAGACCCAGACGGCAACGGGAAGCAGGAGAGGGGAAGAAUGGAGAAUGAGCGGGAGGGAGAAGCAGCGAGGGAGCGAGGGAGAUGACGGGCUUGGGGAUGUAAGCUACUAGCGACCGAGAGGAAGGCAAGUGGUUGGAAGGGUGGUGACGGUAGUGGUAGAAGAAGCAACGGCUAACUACGUG